UACAGAGGUCUCAAGCGUUGUUCGGAUUCAUUGGGCGUAAAGGGUGCGUAGGUGGCGCCGUAAGUCAGGUGUGAAAUUUCGGAGCUUAACUCCGAAACUGCAUUUGAUACUGCGGUGCUUGAGGACUGGAGAGGAGACUGGAAUUUACGGUGUAGCGGUGAAAUGCGUAGAGAUCGUAAGGAAGACCAGUGGUGAAGGCGGGUCUCUGGACAGUUCCUGACACUGAGGCACGAAGGCCAGGGGAGCAAACGGG
rnacentral:rRNA from 1 species